CCUACGGGAGGCAGCAGUAAGGAAUAUUGGUCAAUGGACGCAAGUCUGAACCAGCCAUGCCGCGUGAAGGAUUAAGGUCCUCUGGAUUGUAAACUUCUUUUAUCUGGGACGAAAAAAGGCGAUUCUUCGUCACUUGACGGUACCAGAUGAAUAAGCACCGGCUAACUCCGUGCCAGCAGCCGCGGUAAUACGGAGGGUGCAAGCGUUAUCCGGAUUCACUGGGUUUAAAGGGUGCGUAGGCGGGCAGGUAAGUCAGUGGUGAAAUCCUAGAGCUUAACUCUAGAACUGCCCUUGAUACUAUCUGUCUUGAAUAUUGUGGAGGUAAGCGGAAUAUGUCAUGUAGCGGUGAAAUGCUUAGAUAUGACAUAGAACACCUAUUGCGAAGGCAGCUUACUACGCAUAUAUUGACGCUGAGGCACGAAAGCGUGGGGAUCAAACAGGAUUAGAUACCCUGGUAGUCCACGCCCUAAACGAUGAUUACUCGACAUUUGUGAUACACUAUAAGUGUGUGAGNGAAGAGAUAAGUAAGUAACCUACCGUAGGUUAGUUACGUACCGACGAGGUUAGUUAACGUUAAACGGUUAAGUUAGUUACGGACGUUGAGACGUUGCCGACGGACGACGACGAGGGAGGAGG
rnacentral:rRNA from 1 species